UGUUUACAUGUGCUGUCUCAGACAGGUCCAUACUAUGUCCAAAACUUUUCUUCCUUUAACUGUGUGAAGCCAAGACCAAAUGGACCAUAUUGCUCUAUGCAAAAAAUCAAGAAAAAAUUGAUACUUCUGUAUGGAGUAAGGUAGAAUGUUCAAGAUGAAGAAGGCUUUGGAAAAAUAUGGGUCUGGGUAUUGUGUCACAGCUAUGAGAAAGCGGUUAAGACAGAUGGACACGCUGUUCAGAUGAAUACAGCAGCAAGUGAGAGACAAAAAAGAAAAGUGAAAACCGACCCAAAAGAUCCGCUGAAGGAUGAUUAUUCAAAGAUCAUAGACUUCCCACAAGAGGCAUCUACAGAGCCAUGGACUUGCGAUCCUGUUGUGCUUUAUCAUUCCUACAGUUUGAACAAGACACUGAAUGCUGGCAAUCUUUAGCUGUAACAGAGUGGCGGGGUCCUUAUCUCUAUCUCACUGGAUUAUUGUAAGGCGUUACUGUCCAUCUGAAAGUGAAGGACUAAAGGGUUGGACACAGGUCUAAGGAAUGUGAUUGGAAGGGA
ensembl:lincRNA